rnacentral:rRNA from 1 species
AGAGUUUGAUCCUGGCUCAGGAUGAACGCUAGCGACAGGCCUAACACAUGCAAGUCGAGGGGCAGCGGAGAGGUAGCAAUACCUUUGCCGGCGACCGGCGCACGGGUGAGUAACACGUAUGCAAUCCACCUGUAACAGGGGGAUAACCCGGAGAAAUCCGGACUAAUACCCCAUAAUAUGGGCGCUCCGCAUGGAGAGCCCAUUAAAGAGAGCAAUUUUGGUUACAGACGAGCAUGCGCUCCAUUAGCCAGUUGGCGGGGUAACGGCCCACCAAAGCGACGAUGGAUAGGGGUUCUGAGAGGAAGGUCCCCCACAUUGGAACUGAGACACGGUCCAAACUCCUACGGGAGGCAGCAGUGAGGAAUAUUGGUCAAUGGUCGGCAGACUGAACCAGCCAAGUCGCGUGAGGGAAGACGGCCCUACGGGUUGUAAACCUCUUUUGUCGGAGAGUAAAGUACGCUACGUGUAGCGUAUUGCAAGUAUCCGAAGAAAAAGCAUCGGCUAACUCCGUGCCAGCAGCCGCGGUAAUACGGAGGAUGCAAGCGUUAUCCGGAUUUAUUGGGUUUAAAGGGUGCGUAGGCGGCACGCCAAGUCAGCGGUGAAAUUUCCGGGCUCAACCCGGACUGUGCCGUUGAAACUGGCGAGCUAGAGUGCACAAGAGGCAGGCGGAAUGCGUGGUGUAGCGGUGAAAUGCAUAGAUAUCACGCAGAACCCCGAUUGCGAAGGCAGCCUGCUAGGGUGCGACAGACGCUGAGGCACGAAAGCGUGGGUAUCGAACAGGAUUAGAUACCCUGGUAGUCCACGCAGUAAACGAUGAAUACUAACUGUUUGCGAUACAAUGUAAGCGGUACAGCGAAAGCGUUAAGUAUUCCACCUGGGGAGUACGCCGGCAACGGUGAAACUCAA